rfam:Rattus norvegicus chromosome X, whole genome shotgun sequence.
GGGGAUUUAGCUCAGCGGUAGAGCGUUUGCCUAGUGAGCGCAAGGCCCUGGGUUCGGUCCCCAGCUCCG